rnacentral:misc_RNA from 1 species
GGAAGUAAAAGUCGCAACAAGGUUUCCGUAGGUGAACCUGCGGAAGGAUCAUUAGUGAAUUAUAGGGCGUCUACUUCGGUAGAGCCUGACCUCCACUUUCUAACUCUGUGCACUCAUUUGGCGGAAUACGGAACAGUAAUCGUCUACCGACGAUUAGGACUUCUGCUUUCUGCGGCUUACUUUAAAACACUAGUCAAAGUAUGUAACGAAAUAUCGAAAUAAAAAAAACUUUCAACAACGGAUCUCUUGGCUCUC